ACCCGCUGAAUUUAAGCAUAUCACUAAGCGGAGGAAAAGAAACUAACCAGGAUUCCCCUAGUAACGGCGAGUGAAGAGGGAGUAGUCCAGCACCGAAGCCUGCGGCUGCUUGGCUGUUAGGCAAUGUGGUGUUUGGGCCGACUGGCGGGAUUGCCACUCCACUCGAAGUCCAGCAUUGAGUAUGGUCACUGGAAUUGGCCCAGAGAGGGUGAAAGGCCCGUACGGGUGGAGGUUCAGACAUGUAAGGCAGUUCACUAGGUCGGCCUAAGAGUCGGGUUGUUUGAGAAUGCAGCCCAAAGAGGGUGGUAAACUCCAUCCAAGGCUAAAUACUGACACGAGUCCGAUAGCGAACAAGUACCGUGAGGGAAAGUUGAAAAGUACUCUGAAGAGAGAGUAAACAGUACGUGAAGCCGCAUGCAGGUAAACGGGUGGCGUCAAGCUGCAGGCUCGGAGAAAUCAGCUGAUUGGGUUGUGCGCCUGUCUUGGCCAAUCGAGUAGUCCACGUGUAGGACGUGGGUCUGGCCGCGUGUCAGAUGUGUGUACCGGGUGGUUGCCGGAGCAGGCUACUCGUAUAUAUGGCUGCCUAAUCAGUGCACUUUCUCUGUGGCUAGUACCACGACCGGUGGAAUUGCCAGUCUGCUGUGGUCGAGUCGUGUCUGGAUGGUCUUAUGGCCAACUGGGUGCGAUGACGGGCAAACUCAGUAAACGGCGCGGGGGUGCUUCGGUAUCGCUGCGUGCUAUCGGCUACUGGUUGUCAACGGAUCUGCCUGGUGGUUGUUGUAGCCGCUGCUGGGUGAUUCGGUGGACCAUGGUGGUAUGAAAAACUGUGCAAGGCACCGGGGACUUCGGCUUCAAAUGCAGUCUGCAGACACGUUACAAGUGGAGAGGCACACUAGCGGCUGCCAGCUUAUUGCAAGGUCGGACUGUCGUGUCGCUCGCAAAAAGUGGGCCCGAUGGUGGUUUGGUGUGAGCUGGUAGUGUAGGGUGUGCUCUGUGUGGAUUGCGGUAGGCCAAACAGUCAGUGGUGUAGUGGUAGACCAGCCACCCGACCCGUCUUGAAACACGGACCAAGGAGUUUAACAUGUAUGCGAGUCAAAGGGUCUUACGAAACCCCGCGGCGCAGCGAAAGUGAAGCUUCGUAUAUUUCUCGGAGUAUGGUGAGAUCCUGCCGUUAGUCUCGCACAAGCCUAUGCUGGCAUCAGGCAAAGAGCGGUGGGCGCAUCACCGGCCCGUCUCAUGAUGUAGCCAUUGGAUUUCUGCGGCUGCUUUGGCCGUGGAGCCGAUGCGUCAUCGGGGCGGAGCAUGAGCAUACAUGUUAUGACCCGAAAGAUGGUGAACUAUGCUUGCGUAGGUUGAAGCCAGAGGAAACUCUGGUGGAGGACCGCAGCGAUUCUGACGUGCAAAUCGAUCGUCAAACGUGAGUAUAGGGGCGAAAGACUAAUCGAACCAUCUAGUAGCUGGUUCCCUCCGAAGUUUCCCUCAGGAUAGC
rnacentral:rRNA from 1 species